GGAGCUCAAAAAAACCCCAAGAGUUGCAUAAGAUAGUGCCAGGUACUUACAGCUGACAAAAUUUUCCACCAUCACAUCCUGUAUUUAGUAGUGCACACUGCCCCACGAGUGUUGUAUAUAAUUCCUCAGAUCAUGGACCAAGAUAUGGUGAACAUGUUAUAGUUCAAAUAUUUGUCUAUAUAUUUUUCAAACCUACAGAAUUAAUUACCUAUUACCAACAACACUAACAGGGUUUAUUUGCUCCAUUUGCUUUUAAAAGUUUUAGUGGCAUGCACUGUGUGUGUAUAGUUCUUCCCACUGUGUGUAUAUAAUUCCUUGGCUUGUUAGCUGGAAAUGGACAGCCUCUCUUUUCCUCCACUGGCAGGAAAAACAUUUUCAAACUAGCUCAGAGAAAGCUGCCUGCUCACCCUUCUGCUGCCACCUCACCCAACCCCUUCCUGCUAAUUCUCUUCAACUCAGCUGAUUACUGUAGAAAUUAGUGAUCUCAAAGAGGAAGCAAGGUGCCCAUGAGCCAGCAGAACUAGGAAGUUGGAGUCCAUGCUAUAAAGAGUUUUCAGUUCAUCUGCCGAAAUCACCAAAGAUGUUUACAGAAUGUAUAAAUUAUUUUCUUUUAAAUGACCAUUUAUAGACACCUAGGAGGUUAAAAUGAGAAAAAUUUUCAAGGGUGUAUGAGUAGGGAUAUGCCAACAUAUAGCAUAAAAAGAUAAGCUGACUUUUAGAAGGGAAAAACAACAACAGUUGAUGAAAACCUAAGGUUAAAAAUAGAUUAAAGUAUAUUUCCAUAUUUUAUAUGUGAAAUAAGGUGAUACCAGUUCAGUGGAAUUUAUUUAUGUGUAUAUUUCUUUAAAUAUCCUGCAUGAGUUAAUCUUACUUACCUUUUGUGCAAGAGAUUUCACAAGUACCUAUCUCUUCCAGAAAGUUUAGCAUAUUAUCUUAUCUUUUCAUACCUGAAUAAUUAAACUGGAAUAAAAAAUGCAAGUUCUGACAGUGAAGAUAUGGGGGGAACAAUAGAAUUAAAAAAUCUGUCUCAAAGUAAUUUAAAGUUUUCACAUCUGUUCUACUUUGUUUCUGUCCAAAAUUUUUACCUGUAUCUAUCUGAGAACUUUGACUAGUUCUGCACACAUCUCAGUGCCACCUCAGAAACUCCUGAAUCUGUAAACAGUUCUGAGUUUGUGCAGCUUAAUUCAUAUAAAAAGGCUGAUUUGAAAUGGGAUUUAUAUAAGACUAGAGUUCGGCAUAAUCAAAAAUCAAAAUCCCUAUAAAGUAUCUGUCAGACAACAUGAGAUAAGAUAUUUUGCCUUAUUAUACUAACACCUCUUAAUUUCUGACAAUUGAGUGAAGAACUGGUCAGCAGCAGCAUGUAUGUUGAGUGGUAGGUAAACCAAAACCCUGACACUGAAAACCCACAAUUCAAAGAGAAAUCCAGGUCUCUGCAUUCUGAACUAUGGGAUAUCAAGAGACUGGAGAAAGUAACCUUGAAUCUAGAAUCUGGAAAAUCAGGUUUGGGAGAAAGCUGCUUUGGAACACAAAUUUUCCUUUCUGGUUGUGGGUCAUGGAAAAGUGCCCAAUGAAACAGUCUAGGGACUAUUUUCAUAGUAUCAUCACCACCUAAUGUUCUGAGUGAUAAGAAGGAAAAAAACCCACCCUAUUUUCUGACCUUUCAGGUUCUAGCCCAGGACAAAAAAAAACAAGUACAGAUAUCAUAAUUUAUAUUAGAAAGUCCAGUGGACCAAAUUCUGAAUGACUAAUAGUUUUUAUAUCUACAUACUGAGCUUAUAACUACAUACUUUCUUGAGAGGAACCUAAAUAAAUAAUAAAACAUAGAAAUCGCCCAUUAACAUUGUCUUAGAAACCAAGUUUUCAGUUUUCUCUCAUUCAGAUUGGUCUUUAACUGAAAAUUAUUAAUAGGAAAAAGGAAAAGCAUAAUAGAAUUAUUAUUUUUUUCCUUUAAGAAGCUGGAUGCUCUGAGCUGUAUAAAUUACCAUCACAGUCUCUUUGUGUAAAAUAGGAUUAGCUGAAAAAGACAAAGUGCAGCCAAUGUUCCAAAUCUGUAGAUUAUUUGUUACUAAUUGUCAAUUUGGGAAGUUCAAUUUUUGACUUGGGCGAGUUCUGCUCUACCACACCCAGUACUUCCAAAUCCUGCUGAAUUAUUUUAAUGAACAUCUCGAUUAAUUCCUGGGAGAGUGAGGUGACUGUGAGAAAUUAAAAGUUUCUGUGUCAACAGGCAAUAAUCUUGCUGUGAUCUAAAAUAAUGAGAGUUGGUUACUGACUUCCAUGGCAGUGGGAUAACCCAAUGUCCAUAUAUUCUGUAGGUAGGCUCCAGCUCUGCAAACAGACUCUCCUUUCCUGCACCCCAGUACUGUCAUGGGUAAUUUCUUGUUAGAGAACCAACAUUUAUUGGGACACUAGCUGUCUUGUCAUUCAGAUGGAUUGCUAAAAGUUUUUGCUGGUUUUAAUUUUAAUUGUUCUGUUGAAGUGUUUCAGGUUGAGAUGUAGGUUGGUCCCUCAGGGCAUGAUCUUAUGUAUCCAUAAGAAAUCAAGUGAAUGAAACAGGUUUUGAAUCAAAGGUUUCUACAGAUUUUCCUGGAAGAGAUGAUCUCAUUUAAUGGGGAGAAGAGAGUGCACUGAGCCUAAAAGAAAAGGUUGCUACCUCAGGGAUGUGAUCAAGUAAGCUGUGGUUACCUUCAACAUGGAAAAGGUAAAAUGCAAGGUACAAAAGUUGGGUGCUACAGUGCUUGUUAUUUUCUCUGGAAUGGAUGGUCAACUCUGACUUUGUAAUUAGUUACCUAAAUGACCUACAUGUCUAAUAGGGUAUCUAGCAGAAAUGGUCUGGCUUUGUGGAGCUUUUUUCCCCUGAUAAUUUCCCAAACUCCUGGAUUUAAAUUCAGGAUGAAACCACCAGCCCCGUAAAACAAACAAAACCUCCAAAGCAAAUAGGAAUUUUCUAUCUUUCUUCUUUCCUAAACAUAAAUCAGGAUGCAAUAUGAUCUCCCUUUCAAAAUACAAGUGCUGGCUGAUGAUUUGUCUCUUUGAACAAGCUGCUUCGUACUCCUGGUGCACUGCAGUCUAAGUUUUCAGAUUUGCCAGUUAAUGAAUGGCACAAUAGCAAAUAAAAUAACAAAUGCCCUCUUAGUUGGUUCCAUUUAUUGGAUUCUUUUACUAUUUCUCUAUCUGAAGAAAACCAUCCCACUCCAAGAUUCCUAAUAAGGAAACCUGUGAGCAUUUUACAGCUUGUUGGCCAUGAUUCCCUAUUUGCCUCUGUCCAAGAAACAGUGAGCUUUGAAUUGGCAGUGUAGUGUUUUUACUACCACUUCUUCUGCAGCAAUUUCUUCUCUCAACUCUUCUAAGUUAGGUUGAGAGGUCUAUUUCACACUAAAAGUGGAAAAAGUUGUUUCUUUGUUAACUCUGGUGACGGGAUUCAGUGUUUGUUGCUCUUACCCAGAGCCUUCCAUCUGCUUCUGUUGAGGCCAAUAUCAACAUUCUCUGGUGGUAUCAGUUACAUCACAUGCAGCGCUGCCGUGACUGAACACCCAGAGAUAUAAAAAGGGCUCAUUCUUCUCUGGUGUGGUUUAAAUCCUACUGACUUCGGGAACUUCUCUGCACUUCUCAGGAUUGCGCCUGCAAUUUAGCAAGAAAAAAAAAAAUCUUUAAAAGAUCAUGUGAAACCCUGUUUACUGAGAGGCAAUAGUUUAUUUUAUAGCAAAGCAACAUUCAUUGAUCUAGUUGGAAUUAACAGUUUUCAUUUUGUCAUCACUUUUUAAAGAAAAACCACUUUGACUUUCAGAAAAAAAAAAAUACAAAAAUAAUAUUUUGCUACCUUCCAAACAUUAGCUUUGGUUUACUUUUGGAAGAUAAUGUGGUUGGUAUGUUUUUUCAGGAUAGCCUCUAUCUAUUUCUGUGUGUUGGUUUUAAAUGUAUCUGAAUUAAAAGGGGUUUUAAUCUCUGUCUCUUCUGUGAAAUUAGAUUGUACAAAACUAAAUAUGACUGCUCUUCAUAGUUUGCUGUUCUAGCAUAGCCAUAAAAUGUAUCAAUGUAUGUGUAUAUAUGAAUAAAUAUUUGAUGACAGACACUUUAGAUUAUAUAUUUAAGCAGCCAUGUCAAAACUUCAGAGGUAGAUGGCUUCAAAAGCAAUGGUAUAAUCAUAAUACUUGCAAAUUAUUUUACAAAAUCAAACCAUGGCCUCAGCGCAGAUCUCAUAUCCUUACCAGUAGUCUGAAACCCACCUUUUCUUUAAAGACCCCUGCUAAGGUUUGUUUUGCCAUUGCUUCUUUAACCAAGACGUAUCUGAAUAAUGACAACUGCCCGUGGCUCAGUCUGCAGCACUCAUCUCCCGGCAGAGCCGCCCUGGUGCUGCAGGACCAGCGGCUCUGGGCUCUGCCUCCAUCGGUCUGAGCCGUGCGGCUCUGGAGCCGCUGCUCCUGGGGGAUGGACACUGCACAGCCAGUGUCAGUGCUUCCCCCUGGGACUGCCUCACUCCCCAAAAUUCCUUUUCUUCACCUCAUACAUCUCCCACACAAUUCCCACUGCAUUUUCUUUUUGCCUGUUUAUAAUGGUACUGUAGGAAUAUCCGUGGAAUAAAAAGCUUACCCUACUGAUUUGCAGUCCCAAGGGGAAUUUACAUUAGACGUGAAGUUGUUAUUAUUUACUGAAAAGUGGCGUUAUCUUCUUUUCUUUAUUAUUAUGAUUCUAUUCCUAUGAUACUAUGAUGUUUCAUGUAAAUUUUCAUGUGCUGGCAUGCCUACAAGUUAAUAGUGUAAUAGAAUGCUCAGCUCUCAACAUUAGAGUGUUUUUAAGGUGAAUUGCAUCACAUAUGCCAUCUCUUUGCAGAAAGAAUAUGGGGUUUGGCAAAACUACCUGCUGAGCAACAUAAUGAGAUUUUUGUACAAAGUACAAGUUAUUGAUUAUUAUUGUAUUUUAUUUUUCUAUGAUUUCCUAAGAGGCAUUAUCAGGUCUUACAGAUGGGGUAAGCCUGUUUAUUAAGAUAUUUAUUAGCAAAUAAAAGUUACAGUACUGGUGG
ensembl:lncRNA